GUUGUUCAUCUCCAAUUUCAGAAUGCAUCUUUAGAUAGAUUAAUCUGCAGAAACAAAAAUAGCGUAAAUCAAGAGUCCCAAUCUUCGAACGAACUUUGAUACUAAUUUUUUUUUGAUAAUACCGUUUAAUCCUGAACUGAUUAAUUAGUAGCAGAAGACAAAUUUUAUCAAAAAACCAUAAUAAAUGAGCAUAUCAGGAAUACUUACUGACAUGUAUGUAAAAAGUCUAGAAAGAAUUAUGCAAAACAGAAGAAAGCUAACAUUCACCAAUCAAAAUUUGGUUUAGCAAUAGAAGAAGUGCAAAACAUAGAGAAAACUGCACCAAACAACUAACUAAAUUAGAGAGCUCGCAGCAGAUUCAAAUAGAAAAAAGAUUAAAAAACUAUUUGCAGGGGCCAAUAGGAGAA
rnacentral:lncRNA from 1 species